AUACGGAGGAUGCAAGCGUUUUCCGGAUUUAUUGGGUUUAAAGGGUGCGUAGGCGGUUUGCUAAGCGGGAGGUGAAAUGCCGGCGCUCAACGUCGGAAGUGCCUCCCGAACUGGUGGACUUGAAUGACUCUGCCGUGGGAGGAAUGUGUAGUGUAGCGGUGAAAUGCUUAGAGAUUACGCAGAACACCGAUUGCGAAGGCAUCUCACGAAGGGUUGAUUGACGCUGAGGCACGUAAGCGUGGGGAUCAAACAGGAUUAGAUACCCUGGUAGUCCACGCAGUAAACGAUGAUGGCUAACCGCUGGGCUUAUCAGUUCAGUGGCCAAGCGAAAGCGAUAAGCCAUCCACCUGGGGAGUACGACCGCAAGGUUGGAACUCAAAGGAAUUGACGGGG
rnacentral:rRNA from 1 species